AUGCCAUACGAGACUCGGGAGACUUCGAUGAAAUCACCGUGAGAGAGGCAGGAGCAUAUGCAAGGAUCCUGGAAGACCCAGACUUCAGGUUCUUCCUGCAACUUUUUCACCAGAUCAUGCCCCUUGUAGACACUCUCUAUGCCAGGCUACAGAAGAGGAGCAUCGACUCAGUGUACAUUAAGAGAUGCAUCCAAAGAUUCCAGGAGGACAUACAGAAGAUCAGAGAUUCUCUCCAUGCCAUGACAGUGGAGCACAGCAGUCUAUCCCUGCAAUCAAGAAAACGUGUGGCUCUCUCUUCAGAGGAUCACCAACGAAUUGCAGCUGAAGUCUGUGAUACCAUCCUGGGGCACACCAGAGAGAGGUUCCAGUUCACAGACCAUCUCA